rnacentral:rRNA from 1 species
UACGUAGGCAGCGAGCGUUGUUCGGAGUUACUGGGCGUAAAGGGUGUGUAGGCGGCCUCUUACGUUUGGUGUGAAAUCUCCCGGCUCAACCGGGAGGGUGCGCCGAAUACUGAGGGGCUCGAGUGCGGGAGAGGAAAGUGGAAUUCCUGGUGUAGCGGUGAAAUGCGUAGAUAUCAGGAGGAACACCGGUGGUGUAGACGGCUUUCUGGACCGUAACUGACGCUGAGACACGAAAGCGUGGGUAGCAAACAGG